CCUUUCUCAAAUUAUAUGCAUACUUUACAUUCCAUCACCAGAGAGAGGCUAACAGGGCAUGAAUGUAAACAUAUAAUGUCUGACCUGAUAAGCCCUAGUGUGUUAAACUUACUGGGGAAAUCUCAUUUUUAUUCCACUCUGUUAUUCCAAUUCUAGAUAUAAUUAUACCGUUAAUUUUCAUAAAAUACCUAAGGAAGGAAAGGAUUGUGAAAAUAAGAUGGAUGAAAGAACAUUUCAAGAUCAAUAUUUUUGCAAUGGUUGCUCGUUUUGAAGCAUUUCACACAAUAAGAUUAACAAUCAUUGACAUAAAUUCAUAUAUGUCUGAAGAGAACAGAUGUACCCUGUAGAUGGUUCGACUGGAGUAAUAAUCAACAGACCAGUAAGAUGAACACUAAAGAAGAAGAUUUCAUUACCAGAUGAAAGGAAUUCCAUUGGUAACAGUAAUGAACACAAUUGACAACUGGUAUUUGAAUCGCCUUUAAUUGUAAUAUCUCUUCAUAGCAGUGGCAAGAAACUAUCAAACAGCUCAAAGAAGAAUUACAGAAAACUAAGGAAGAAAACAAACAGUGAUAUUGAACAUCUGAUACAAACAAAAUUUCAGAUGUUGACAGUUGUAUAUUGUGUAAUGUUAUACAGGAUUUCCAACAAAAUUUACUAUAUAUUCAUUACAGUUUUCAAUAGGAAAAACAUUAAGAGCGUUUAUUAUGAUGCAAGCAAAACAAUCAGCUUGACUGGCGAAAUGUUUUUAGCACAUUUUAAAGGACCAUUUGUUCAGUCUUUUGCGCCUUGAAUUUAAAUAAAAACUUUAAAAGAAAUCAUCGCAUUACUUUUGUUUUUAACAUUGUGCUUUGUUACAUAUAUGGUGCAGGGAAUAUGUCAACAUGUUUAUUACAUUUAAUAUUUUGUCCUCUUAUUGCAUUAUAUUGUUGAAAGAAUAUGUCUUGGAAUGUUAAAAGAAGUGCUAAAUUUCGAUGCUGCCUUUCCUAAUACCCUACAACUGCAAGGUAUUGCGCAGGUUUUCUGCGAAUGUUCAGUCCCUUAUGUACAUGGAAUAUUUGGGGUUGGUAAGUCCAAGCAACAUCCUCUGGAAGUGCCGUGUUCCCUAAUGAUUUGUUAUA